UACGGAAGGCAGCAGUGGGGAAUAUUGCACAAUGGGCGCAAGCCUGAUGCAGCCAUGCCGCGUGUAUGAAGAAGGCCUUCGGGUUGUAAAGUACUUUCAGUCGUGAGGAAGGUGUUAAGGUUAAUAACCUUAGCAAUUGACGUUAGCGACAGAAGAAGCACCGGCUAACUCCGUGCCAGCAGCCGCGGUAAUACGGAGGGUGCGAGCGUUAAUCGGAAUUACUGGGCGUAAAAGGGCACGCAGGCGGUUAAUUAAGUUGGAUGUGAAAUCCCCGGGCUUAACCUGGGAAUGGCAUUCAAGACUGGUUAGCUAGAGUCUUGUAGAGGGGGUAGAAUUCCAUGUGUAGCGGUGAAAUGCGUAGAGAUGUGGAGGAAUACCGGUGGCGAAGGCGGCCCCUGGGACAAAGGCUGACGCUCAUGUGCGAAAGCGUGGGGAGCGAAACAGGAUUAGAUACC
rnacentral:rRNA from 1 species